AAAUUGAAGAGUUUGAUCAUGGCUCAGAUUGAACGCUGGCGGCAGGCCUAACACAUGCAAGUCGAACGGUAACAGGAAGCAGCUUGCUGCUUCGCUGACGAGUGGCGGACGGGUGAGUAAUGUCUGGGAAACUGCCUGAUGGAGGGGGAUAACUACUGGAAACGGUAGCUAAUACCGCAUAAUGUCGCAAGACCAAAGAGGGGGACCUUCGGGCCUCUUGCCAUCGGAUGUGCCCAGAUGGGAUUAGCUUGUUGGUGGGGUAACGGCUCACCAAGGCGACGAUCCCUAGCUGGUCUGAGAGGAUGACCAGCCACACUGGAACUGAGACACGGUCCAGACUCCUACGGGAGGCAGCAGUGGGGAAUAUUGCACAAUGGGCGCAAGCCUGAUGCAGCCAUGCCGCGUGUAUGAAGAAGGCCUUCGGGUUGUAAAGUACUUUCAGCGGGGAGGAAGGGAGUAAAGCUAAUACCUUUGCUCAUUGACGUUACCCGCAGAAGAAGCACCGGCUAACUCCGUGCCAGCAGCCGCGGUAAUACGGAGGGUGCAAGCGUUAAUCGGAAUUACUGGGCGUAAAGCGCACGCAGGCGGUUUGUUAAGUCAGAUGUGAAAUCCCCGGGCUCAACCUGGGAACUGCAUCUGAUACUGGCAAGCUUGAGUCUCGUAGAGGGGGGUAGAAUUCCAGGUGUAGCGGUGAAAUGCGUAGAGAUCUGGAGGAAUACCGGUGGCGAAGGCGGCCCCCUGGACGAAGACUGACGCUCAGGUGCGAAAGCGUGGGGAGCAAACAGGAUUAGAUACCCUGGUAGUCCACGCCGUAAACGAUGUCGACUUGGAGGUUGUGCCCUUGAGGCGUGGCUUCCGGAGCUAACGCGUUAAGUCGACCGCCUGGGGAGUACGGCCGCAAGGUUAAAACUCAAAUGAAUUGACGGGGGCCCGCACAAGCGGUGGAGCAUGUGGUUUAAUUCGAUGCAACGCGAAGAACCUUACCUGGUCUUGACAUCCACGGAAGUUUUCAGAGAUGAGAAUGUGCCUUCGGGAACCGUGAGACAGGUGCUGCAUGGCUGUCGUCAGCUCGUGUUGUGAAAUGUUGGGUUAAGUCCCGCAA
rnacentral:rRNA from 1 species